CCCCACCUCCCCCCCCUCCCCCCUCCAACACGCGCCACGCUAAUUAACGGCGUUCGUCUUCUUCUUCUGCCACCGCCGCCGCCGCUGUCGAAAGUCGACUUUGCCGACAAAAGUGUCGGCCCCCUCCGAUUGUUUACUCCCGUGGAGGGGCGUGCGUCCAAUGAGAUGUCGCGGAGUCUGCUGAUACGAGGGACAAAGAGGCGGACGGGACGUCCCCUUUUGUUCGGAACAAUGCGCCGUGCCGGAGUUUGGAUUACACCGCGGGUCCCUUUUGUGGGCUCCCUCCAUCCCCGGAAUGAUUUCUCCCGUCCGCGCGCACGACGGCGGACAGACCGAAGGGAACGCACGAACGAAGGUGGACUCAAUAUCUCGAAGACUAAACUGGCAACAUAACGGGGUUGUCAGUGUCGUAUUAUUCGGCGCACGGAGGAAGCGGCCGGCGUCUGCAGCAAGAUAAGUGGGCAUCCUCCGAGAUAAAGACGCCAGAAAAAUGAAUAGGUGGAGGUGGUGUGGGUGGCGUGAAACCCAGCGGAUUCCUGCCCAACGCUCCGCAGCCCACCGCCUCUAUCAGCGACAGCGGCGGCGGUCGAAGCGGGCGCCCGUGGUGUGACCAAGUUAAAACAACAGCCUCCCCGCGCCGCGCGCUGCCCCAUCAAAUCGAAUGCCUCCACGUGACACGACGCCUCCUUCCGUCACAUUCCGGGAGAUGCCAGCGCGUGUGACUGGAAAGGCUCCUGUUUGACUCCAGAGUCUAUUUGCUCUUGUCUCAUUUUGCAAGCGUCACCCCGGCACUGGUCUUGAUGGCACGCCAGCCCCCGGGCAAGGUUAAGCAAUUGCAAGCCUUCCUCAUUGGUGCUGUGCUGCUGCUGCUGCUCCUGCUCCUAUGUUUCAUUGUUCACUCCCUUACCGAUUGAAGUCUGUAUGCAGCUCUGCUCACCUGUCAGCCCUGGGUGCCAUUCUAGGCAGGGAUAUCGUAAAGCUGUGCGGAUACCAUUCUCGUAUGCUACGUGCAGAUCGUGUAAUUUAAUUCCAAAUGGCACAACUUGUUGCAGCACGAACAACUUUUAAGGAGCAUUUGUUAAUCCGUUUGGGAAGAGUGUAGCUGCCCACUUGAUUAUCCUGGGAUCGGGUAACUCCGCGUAGAGUCACGUUCAGGACUACCAGUGGAGAAAUGUCUCCCAGCGAGGAUGCACGCUGGAUCCGUAAAUGAAGAAAGGACACGUGCAUUUUUGUUUAUGGAUCAUGUGAAUAGUUGACCAAAGUCCUUCGAAGAUAUGAAUGUAGUUAUGUCCUCAGUGGUGAACGUGACAUGUAGUCCUCUGCUCUAUAGAGUAAGACAGGAAACACAAGGACCUUGACGUGUAUCUUUGCCCUUUAGCUUAGAUAGUGGCAGCACCACUCUUGUUUUUACAAAUCCAAUGACGUCAAAAUAGGCCAGUCCUACUCACAUGAUUAAGCUUAGACCACUGUGAUGUUUGGUAAGGAACAUAUCAUUUUAUUUAUUUUAGCACAGCCUAUAUAGAGCAACUAUGACAGAUUCAGUUUCAACUUAUUUAGUCGUGCAAUUACAAUGCUUGAGAGUUGGUGAAUUGCAGAUACACCCAAGGCCUUCAAAUUUAUAUUUUGGGCAAUGCAAAGUUUUGUUGUCAAGGUUCGUUGUUUAUAGUCGCAGUUGUACACGAGUUUUAAUUUGACCACAAUUUUGUGCAUUAGGAAGAGAUGAGGGCAGUGGAUAAUAGCAGGGUCUUUGAGGUUCCAUUCCUAAAUGUUUCCCUAAAUUAAUUGCUCUCUCUCUCACGUGUUUACCAUCUCCAAAUUGUACAUUCGUUGUCACACGGUGUUUUGUUCUUCUCAUUAGCACUGUAAAGCACUUUGGGAUGUUUUUUUAAUAUUUAACCCACUCAAUGAACGCAAUUCCCUAUCCUAGAGUUCUUCACCAACUUUAAACAGGAAGCAUCAUGUCAUUCACAAUUGUGGCACGCCUAAGUUGGUAACAUUGGCUCUGACCUCAUCACCUGCCUCCACGUAUCUAUAAAAUUACGCACUUCAAACACUGUGAAGGUUGGGUGAUGUUGGUUUCGCCCACAAUAUGAUAACUAUUAAGCAGUACUACAUUGUUCUUAUAUAUAAAUAGGCUGGCACAAGCCCAUCCCAUGGAUGUGUGAUUAGUUUUGUAAACUAUCAUGUGUAUAUAUUAAUAAACUGGAACCAGCCCAUCCUCUGGGUGUGAUUAGAUUUAUAACCCAUAAUCCCUCCAACAUCCGGUCACCUUUGACCUCAUCAGGUUUACCCGAGUACAGUUUGCGAAAGCCACACCGCAAUUGACUUGGACUUUAGUGACAAAAAUGACAUCUCAGUUAAUUACAAUUUGCAUUGUGGUUUAGGCAAGAUUUACCUCAUACAUACUACAUGCUGGAACUGACUUGCAUUAAAUAUUGAAGUACAGUACAGUAUAAACAUAUGCUACUAUCUAAUGGUAAUAUGAUAGCAUAAUAAAUAUUUCAUUAUAAUAAUAGGGUUUUUCCCCUUUUUUCUGGCAACAAAACUGAAACCUUUUUUUACAAGGAUUCAUGUUGCUGCAUUAACCACAAUACCUGCAGUCAAA